rnacentral:rRNA from 1 species
CCUACGGGAGGCAGCAGUGAGGACUAUUGGUCAAUGGACGAGAGUCUGAACCAGCCAAGUAGCGUGAAGGAUGACUGCCCUAUGGGUUGUAAACUUCUUUUAUAAAGGAAUAAAACGAGGCACGUGUGCCUUUUUGCAUGUACUUUAUGAAUAAGGAUCGGCUAACUCCGUGCCAGCAGCCGCGGUAAUACGGAGGAUCCGAGCGUUAUCCGGAUUUCUUGGGUUUAAAGGGAGCGUAGAUGGGUUGUUAAGUUAGUUGUGAAAGUUUGGGGCUCAACCGUAAAAUUGCAAUUGAUACUGGCAGUCUUGAGUACAGUUGAGGUAGGCGGAAUUCGUGGUGUAGCGGUGAAAUGCUUAGAUAUCACGAAGAACCCCGAUUGCGAAGGCAGCUUACUAAACUGUGACUGACAUUGAUGCUCGAAAGUGUGGGUAUCAAACAGGAUUAGAUACCCUAGUAGUC